UCUGCAUCUAACGCAACCUUGAAAUGAACUGUUGUGUGUGUGUGUGUGUGUGUGUGUGUGUGUGUGUGUGUGUGUGUGUGUGUGUGUGUGUGUGUGUGUUUGUGCGUGUGCGUGUACGUGUGUGUGUGUGUGUGUGUGUGUGUAACAGUGUGUGAGUGUGUCUCUGCAUUCAUUCUACCUGCCUGCUUUUUCACACUAGGGGGGUUAAAUGAGUCUUUUAUCCAGCACCAUUUACUGCAUGAGUGAACUUAAAUCACUAUUUAUAAGUUGAAAGGAUGACAUUACUUCAGAGGAUUUUGGAAUUAGGCGUUUAUUUUUCCUGUAAUUAAGAGGACAGUAAUGCUUAUUCUGUAUGUUGAAGAUUGACCAUGCCACCCGUCCAUCCAUUUUUAAAGCCUGUCCUUCCCCUGAGGAGCUGAGCCAAUGUCCAAAAAAGAAGGAAAGUCAGCCCCAGCUCCAAAAGAAGAACCAGCUUCUGGAGCAGCAGAACCAGCAUCAGCAGCCGAUCCUAAACCAACAACGCCAGAACUGGAAACAGCUGCUUCUGCCUCAACUGCAACACCAGAGUCAGCUACAAAACCUCCUGAAAAAGCCACCCCUGCACCUGGACCAGCCCCAGUGGCAGCAGCCCCAGAACCAGCCAAAGCACCAGCUUCUCCUCCAAAUCCAGCUGUCAAAUAUGAUCCUGUCGCUGCGGUAAGUCUCU